AUCUGGGCGGCGGAAUUCAAGACGGCUGGCGGGUCUCGCGCUCGUUCGGCCGUUUGAUAUUUCCGUCGUCGUGUCAGACGUCGCGACCUGUUUGUCGUCGGUCCUUGCUCGGAGGAAUUGCGAUCGAGUUCGUUGCGGGCGCGUUUCGGCGUGCUUCGCGGCGAAGACGCGACUCUCUGGCUGACGACGGACAGUAAGCAACGGUGUCCGACGCCGUGUCUCGCACUCGGCGUCGGUGCCGGUCAGCGACGAUUUCUUCGGGCCUCUUUCCGACCCGUCUUGAAACACGGACCAAGGAGUCUAACAUGCGCGCGAGUCGCGGGGUUUCGAGCGUACCACGGUGCGCUCGUUACUUCCGAAACCCGUACGUUGAAGGCGUAAUGAAAGUGAAUAGGGAAGAUGGCGUUCCGAGUCCACGUACCGUGAUCGAGUAUCGCGGCCGGACGUCCGCACUCCCGGGGCGUCUCAAUGGUUCGCCGCGGAUGCGGACGAUCGUCUUUCGGGGCGGUCGUCGGUCUGUGGCGGUCCGA
rnacentral:rRNA from 1 species